GUUCGCGGCUGGGUCGGUGGUUCCGGCCUGGCCGGUGGUUCCGGCCUGGCCGGUGGUUCCGGCCUGGCCGGUGGUUCCGGCCUGGCCGGUGGUCG
rnacentral:tRNA from 1 species